GCGGAAGUGGCGAAAUUGGCAGACGCACCAGACUUAGGAUCUGGCGCCGCAAGGCGUGGAGGUUCAAGUCCUCUCUUCCGCACCA
rnacentral:tRNA from 4 species